rnacentral:rRNA from 1 species
UUCUGAUAAAGGAAUCUUUUGCCCGUCCUAAAAGCACGGGCGAAUAAGGGGUGGGCAAGUCUGGUGUCAGCCGCCGCGGUAAUACCAGCACCUCGAGUGGUCAGGACGAUUAUUGGGCCUAAAGCAUCCGUAGCUGGUUUUGCAAGUCUCCGGUUAAAUCCACCUGCUUAACAGAUGGGCCGCUGGAGAUACUACAAAACUAGGGAGUGGGAGAGGCAGACGGUAUUCGGGGGGUAGGGGUAAAAUCCUCUGAUCCUUUGAGGACCACCAGUGGCGAAGGCGGUCUGCCAGAACACGUUCGACAGUGAGGGAUGAAAGCUGGGGGAGCAAACCGGAUUAGAUACCCCCGUAGUCC